AACCGAUGAAAUCUGCUGGUACAAGAAAACAGCCACAAGCCCUCGUGGAAUUUACGCCAUUUAAAAUUCCUCCCCAUCCUCCGACAAGGCUGUGCGAUCUCCAAGGGAUCAAAUCGUCGCCCGACCGACCCUGAGGAGUAGUGGACGGGCGAAGGCAGAGCCGGAGCUGCGAGGCGAAAAAGACGGAUCCAUGGUUUCCUUUGGGAUGCAAAUUUGGCAACUCUGCAGAUGAUCUACUUCGUUGGCCUUCUCUUCAUUUGAUGGAACUCGUAGAUGUGAUUUCAUUUUACGUGGAAAGGAGAACCAACUUACACCAUUAACCUUGGACUCUUGAUCAUCUGAAAACUUGGAAAUUUUGCUUGUUUUCCAUCCAUGGAGAGCUUGGCGCAGCUGGAAACCUUAUGUGAAACGCUGUACACUUCCCAGAAUUCAGCUGAACGAGCACAUGCAGAGAUCACCCUUAAAUGCUUUUCUCUGAAUCCAGACUACAUUCCACAGUGCCAGUACAUUUUGGACAAUGCAUCGACUCCUUACGCUUUGGUGUUGGCUAGUUCCAGCUUGUUGAAGCAAAUAACGGAACAUAAACUGUCUUUGCAGAUGCGGCUUGAUAUCCGAAAUUAUGUGAUAAAUUACCUUGCUACCAGAGGACCUGAAUUGGAGAACUUUGUAAUUGGAUCUUUAAUUCAACUUUUAUGUCGAGUGACGAAAUUUGGAUGGUUUGAUGAUGAUAAAUUCAGGGAAGUUGUAAAGGAAGCGACAAACUUCUUGAAUCAGGCAUCAUCAGGUCAUUAUUCUAUAGGCUUGAAGAUGCUCAAUCAGCUUGUAUCUGAGAUGAACCAGCCCAAUGUUGGAUUGCCUCUAAUACAACAACGCAAGGUUGCCUGCUCUUUCAGAGAUCAAUCACUUUUCCAGAUAUUCCAAGUAUCUAUAACUUCAUUGCAUCAACUAAAAAGUGAUGGAAAUUUCCAAGUCUCUGGUGUGCUGAAGGAACUUACUCUUUCACUUGCACUAAAGUGCUUAUCUUUUGACUUUAUUGGUACUUCGGUUGAUGAAAGCUCUGAAGAGUUUGGUACUUUGCAGAUUCCAUCUUCCUGGAAACCAGUAGUGCAAGAUCCUUCUACCCUUCAGGUUUUCUUUGAUUACUACAGAAUCAUGGGGCCUCCUCUCUCGAAAGAGGCUUUGGAGUGUUUAGUUAGACUUGCAUCUGUAAGGCGGUCCUUGUUCACGGAUGAUCCUGCCCGGUUCCAGUUUCUUGGUCAUUUAAUGAACGAGACAAAAGAGAUUAUACAGACCGGCGAAGGCCUUGCUGAUCAUGAUAAUUACCAUGAGUUUUGUCGUCUUCUCGGACGUUUUAAAGUAAACUAUCAGUUGUCAGAGCUUUUGAGUGUGGAAAGUUUUGGUGAAUGGAUACAUUUGGUGGCUGAAUUCACAACAAAAUCAUUGCAGUCAUGGCAGUGGGCCAGCAGUAGUGUGUACUACCUUUUAGGACUUUGGUCGAGGCUGGUAACAUCUGUGCCAUACUUGAAGGAUGAGACACCGAGUUUGCUGGAUGAAACUGUGCCUAAAAUCACGGAGGGUUUUAUCACCUCCAGAUUCAAUUCUAAUCAGGCUGAUUUUCCUGAUGACCUCUCAGAGGAUCCUUUGGAUAAUGUCGAACUUCUUCAGGAUCACCUUGAGUUUUUUCCAUACCUGUGUAGAUACCAGUACGAAACCAGUAGUCUGUGUAUAAUGAAGAUUAUGGAUCCUAUUCUUCAGGUUUAUACAGAAAGAGCAAGCUCACCAAUGCCUGUAGAUGCCAAUGAACUUGCUGUAAUUGAAGGACAAAUAUCAUGGAUUGUUCAUAUUAUUGCUGCUAUUCUCAAAGUCAGACAGAUUACUAGCUGCAGAACGGAAUCACAAGAGUUAAUAGAUGCAGAACUUGCGGCACGUGUUUUGCAACUAUCAAAUGUCACAGACAUUGGAGUUCACUCUCAGCGAUAUGGUGAAAUAAGCAAGCAAAGACUUGAUCGAGCCAUUCUCACCUUUCUCCAGAACUUCAGAAAAUCAUAUGUUGGUGAUCAUGCCAUGCAUUCAUCUAAGCAGUUAUACUUGAGGUUAUCAGAGCUUCUUGGGCUCCAUGAUCAUUUAGUACUGCUUAAUUUCAUCGUGGGAAAAAUUGCUAUGAACCUUAAGCACUACCCACAGUGUGAGGACGUUAUUGAGCAUACAUUAUCCCUUUUUUUGGAGUUAGCAUCUGGUUACAUGACCGGGAAGCUCCUGCUUAAGUUGGAUUCGAUAAAGUUCAUAAUUGUAAAUCACACAAAGGAAAACUUUCGAUUUCUCGAAGAAUAUAGGUGUUUGCACAGUAGAACAACAUUUUACUAUACUCUUGGUUACUUAAUCUUUAUGGAAGACAGUCCAGUGAAAUUUAAGGCUUCUAUGGAGCCACUUUUGCAGGUUAUGAUUGGUUUGGAGUCGACUUCUGAUGCUGCAUUUCGUUCCAAUGCUGUAAAACAUGCAUUUAUUGGUUUGAUGAGGGAUCUAAGAGGAAUUGCUAUGGCAACAAAUAGUCGUAGGACAUAUGGGCUCCUUUUUGAUUGGUUGUAUCCCUCCCAUAUGCCACUUCUCUUAUAAGCCAUCUCACAUUGGUCUGAUGUGCCAGAGGUCACUACACCUCUGCUAAAAUUCAUGGCAGAAUUUGUUUUGAACAAAGCUCAACGUUUGAGCUUUGAUUCAUCAUCUCCUAAUGGGAUUCUUUUAUUUCGUGAAGUAAGCAAGUUAGUUGUGGCUUAUGGAUCAAGCAUUCUGUCUCGUCCAAUUAAUACAGACAUCUAUAAUAACAAAUACAAAGGAAUUUGGAUCUCUCUAAUCAUUCUUUCAAGGGCACUAUCUGGGAAUUAUGUAAAUUUUGGUGUUUUUGAGUUAUAUGGUGAUCGGGCACUCACGGAUGCCCUUGAUGUGUCUCUGAAGAUGAUAUUGUCAAUUCCUCUGGCUGAUAUAUUUGCAUAUCGAAAGCUUACAAAGGCUUAUUUUGCAUUCAUGGAGGUUUUGUUCAGCAACCAUAUUUCUUUCAUUUUGAAUCUUGGUACUAAUACCUUUCUGAAUAUUAUUGGCUCACUUGAGGCUGGUUUAAAAGGACUGGAUACUGGUAUUUCUUCACAGUGUGCAUCUGCUGUGGAUAACUUGGCAACAUUUUACUUCAACCACAUUACCAUUGGUGAAGUAUCUGCAUCACCUGCUUCAAUGAAUUUUACUCGGCACAUAGCUGAAUUCCCCAAUUUGUUCACUGAGAUACUCAGGACCUUGUUUGAGAUAGUCCUAUUUGAAGACUGUGGCAACCAAUGGAGUCUUAGCAGACCAAUGCUGAGCUUGAUUUUGAUAAAUGAGCAGAUGUUUACAAAUUUGAGAAUACAGAUGUUGGCAUCACAGCCUAUGGAUCAACAGCAACGUCUUUCACUGUGUUUUGAGAAGCUGAUGGCUGAUGUGACGAGGAGUUUGGAUUCGAAGAACAGGGACAAGUUCACCCAAAAUCUGACGAUUUUUAGACGUGAAUUCCGUGUCUAGUAGCUGAUAAUUUUUCAUAGACUUCUACUCUGAAGUAACCUUUCAACCAUUGUUGUGUAUAUGCCCCAUCAUUGAUUCUUUUGCAGUGAUGCUCUCCAACAAGGGAAUGCAGCCAUGAGAAAAUAACAGUGGUGCCUACAGUUUCCAAAUUCUCUUUCUUUUUAUUUAGUGGGACUGCCCAUGAAUUUCUGAUAUCAAGGACAAUCAUUCCUGGAGAUAUUUGCUUUUAUAUCAGAGCUUUGUCCAUGUAAAUUCUGUGGUGCUUUGCUUGUGGUCCAUUUUAUACCGGGGAUGAUAAUGUGGGGAACUUUGAAGGGUUGGUUUGUACAGUAAAAUUUGACAGUUGCUGUAUAUGGAUAGUGGAUUUCCAUUUGUUGUUUUACCAAUAUUGUUGUUCCAAAUUAUUAUUUUUUGUUUGAUAUUAAAGCAAAAAAUGUAUGUUAA